AAUCAACGCUGGCGGCGUGCCUCAGACAUGCAAGUCGAACGAUUAAAGCUCUCUUCGGAGAGUGCAUAGAGUGGCGCACGGGUGAGUAACACGUAAGUAAUCUACCUUUGAGUGGGGAAUAACGUCCGGAACGGACGCUAAUACCGCAUAAUGCAGCGGCAUCGCAAGAUGACAGUUGUUAAAGAUUUAUCGCUUGAAGAGGAGCUUGCGGCAGAUUAGCUAGUUGGUAAGGUAAUGGCUUACCAAGGCUACGAUCUGUAACCGGUCUAAGAGGACGGUCGGUCACACUGACACUGAAUAACGGGUCAGACUCCUACGGGAGGCAGCAGUCGGGAAUUUUGGGCAAUGGGCGAAAGCCUGACCCAGCAACGCCGCGUGAAGGAUGAAGUAUUUCGGUAUGUAAACUUCGAAAGAAUGGGAAGAAUAAU
rnacentral:rRNA from 1 species